rnacentral:sRNA from 1 species
UGCAACCAGCACGGCAGGUCAACGAAGAC